rnacentral:rRNA from 1 species
CGCCUAACAGCUAGCCCACCCAAGCAAUUUCAACAAACCCCUAUUAAUAACCCCUAAGUACCCCAGUAUUUAAAUUAAACAAACCAUUUUCCCCCCUUAGUACAGGCGAUAGAAAGGGGCCUACGGCGCGAUAGAGAAAGUACCGCAAGGGAAUGCUGAAAAAGAAAUGAAAUAACCCAGUAAAGCCUAGAAAAGCAGAGAUUUAACCUCGUACCUUUUGCAUCAUGAUUUAGCAAGUGUACCCCAAGCAAAGAGAACUUUAGUUUGGCGUCCCGAAACUACGUGAGCUACUCCAAGACAGCCUAUUAAUAGGGCACACCCGUCUCUGUGGCAAAAGAGUGGGGAGAGCUUUGAGUAGAGGUGACAAACCUACCGAACCUAGUUAUAGCUGGUUGUCCAAGAAAUGAAUAGAAGUUCAGCCUCUUGGCUUCUCUUUUCACCCUAGUUUAACCUCUAUCGAUGCAUUAAAGAAACCAAGGGAGUUAGUCAAAGGGGGUACAGCCCCUUUGAAUCAAGACACAACUUUACCAGGAGGGUNNNGAUCAUA